rnacentral:rRNA from 1 species
UACGUAGGGGGCAAGCGUUGUCCGGAAUCAUUGGGCGUAAAGCGCGUGUAGGCGGUUCGGUAAGUCGGCUGUGAAAGUCCAGGGCUCAACCCUGGGAUGCCGGUCGAUACUGCCGGACUAGAGUUCGGAAGAGGCGAGUGGAAUUCCCGGUGUAGCGGUGAAAUGCGCAGAUAUCGGGAGGAACACCAAUGGCGAAGGCAGCUCGCUGGGACGUUACUGACGCUGAGACGCGAAAGCGUGGGGGAGCAAACAGGG